rnacentral:rRNA from 1 species
GAUGAACGCUGGCGGCGUGCUUAACACAUGCAAGUCGAACGGCAAGGCCCUGCUUUCUUGCGGUGCUCGAGUGGCGAAGGGGUGCGUAAGACUAACGCGAACUGACCCUGCCCUUCACCACACUUUAGGCAACCGGGGGUCAUACCGGUUAGGUAUUCCUGCUGCUUGGUGGGGGCUGGAAAGUUUGGGCGGUUGGGGAUGGACUCGCGGCUUAGCAGCUUGUUGGUGGGGGAGUGGCUUACCAAGGAUUUGACGGGUAGCCGGCCUGAGAGGGUGACUGGCAACCGUGGGACUGAGAUACGGCCCGGAGCCCUACGGGAUGCAGCAGUGGGGAAUAUAGCAUGAUGGGCGGAAGCCGGAUGCAGCAAGGCCGCGUGCGGGAUGAUGGCCUUCGGGUUGGAGGCCACUUUCGCCUGUGACGGAGCGUGUUUGACGGUAAUGGGUAAAGAAGCACCGGCUAACUACGUG